rnacentral:tRNA from 1 species
AAGGCCUUAGUUUAAUUAAAACAUUUGAUUUGCACUCAUAAAAUGCAAGAUAGAGUCUUGUAGGUUUUA